rnacentral:rRNA from 2 species
GGAGGUAGUGACAAUAAAUCACAAUGCGGAACUUUUGUUUUGCAAUUGGAUUGAGAACAACGCACAACACUUAUCGAUAAACAAUUGGAGGGCAAGUCUGGUGCCAGCAGCCGCGGUAAUUCCAGCUCCAAUAGCGUAUAUUAACGUUGUUGCAGUUAAAAAGCUCGUAGUUGAAGUGAAGUAAUGAAGUUGUGACUUGAUUUAUCAUUUCGCUCCUUAAUUACUCUUUCCAAACUGUUUGCACGGGUAUUCAUUUACUUGUGUAUUGCAUUUGGUCGUUUACUGUGAGAAAAUUAGAGUGUUCAAAGCAUACGUUUGUUUGAAUACAUUAGCAUGGAAUAAUUCGAAAAGGCUUUCAUGUUCGAUUUGAUUGGUUUGUUCGUGAGAGCAAGAUUAAAAGGGACAGUUGGGGGUAUUCAUAUUCAAUAGUCAGAGGUGAAAUUCUCGGAUUUAUGGAAGAUGAACAAGUGCGAAAGCA